UUUCCGUAGGUGAACCUGCGGAAGGAUCAUUAACAAUUGAUGCGCGGACGCUUGUUCGUCUGCACAUUUGCCCGGGAUUGCAAAAUCCCAAGGCUACAUAUGCGCGUAUUUGUAUGACUGUUUUGAUACUUUAAAAUUUAUACAACUUUUAACAAUGGAUCUCUUGGCUCUU
rnacentral:misc_RNA from 1 species